AGUAACACGUGAGCAACCUGCCUUUCAGAGGGGGAUAACAGUUGGAAACGACUGCUAAUACCGCAUAACGCUGCGAUGGGGCAUCCCGAUGCAGCCAAAGGAGCAAUCCGCUGGAAGAUGGGCUCGCGGCCGAUUAGCUAGUUGGUGGGGCAACGGCCCACCAAGGCGACGAUCGGUAGCCGGACUGAGAGGUUGAUCGGCCACAUUGGGACUGAGACACGGCCCAAACUCCUACGGGAGGCAGCAG
rnacentral:rRNA from 1 species